rnacentral:rRNA from 1 species
UACGUAGGGUGCGAGCGUUAAUCGGAAUUACUGGGCGUAAAGCGUGCGCAGGCGGUAAUGCAAGACAGAUGUGAAAUCCCCGGGCUUAACCUGGGAACUGCAUUUGUGACUGCAUGGCUAGAGUGUGUCAGAGGGGGGUAGAAUUCCACGUGUAGCAGUGAAAUGCGUAGAGAUGUGGAGGAAUACCGAUGGCGAAGGCAGCCCCCUGGGAUAACACUGACGCUCAUGCACGAAAGCGUGGGGAGCAAACAGG